GUGUCCGUAUCAGCGACGUGCUCGUUAAGUUUGUCAAUACCGGUCACCAAAUUGAUAUCAUCUAUUUCCGUCCCUAAGUGGCACCGGCUACAUUUAGCCACGGAGUAACCACGAGUGCGAUACGUGUCACCUGCUGCCUCUUCUGCAUGUAUACAUAUACUAUGGUUUGAAGAUACAGAUGAAGACGGAAUUCAAUGAUGAUGGAUAUUAUCGGAUGACUAAUUCUGCGACAUUGCUGUAAUUUAGUAAUAUUUCUUCUUUCAUAAUCUUGCGCAAAAUCAAAUGUCCAAUUUAAAAAAGAAAUAUAUGUAUACAAUAUAUGUAUGUAAGACAUGCA